GAUGAACGCUGGCGGCGUGCCUAAUACAUGCAAGUCGAGCGAACAGACGAGGAGCUUGCUCCUCUGACGUUAGCGGCGGACGGGUGAGUAACGCGUGGAUAACCUACCUAUAAGACUGGGAUAACUUCGGGAAACCGGAGCUAAUACCGGAUAAUAUAUUGAACAGCAUGGUUCAAUAGUGAAAGACGGUUUUGCUGUCACUUAUAGAUGGAUCCGCGCCGCAUUAGCUAGUUGGUAAGGUAACGGCUUACCAAGGCGACGAUGCGUAGCCGAACUGAGAGGGUGAUCGGCCACACUGGAACUGAGACACGGUCCAGACUCCUACGGGAGGCAGCAGUAGGGAAUCUUCCGCAAUGGGCGAAAGCCUGACGGAGCAACGCCGCGUGAGUGAUGAAGGUCUUCGGAUCGUAAAACUCUGUUAUUAGGGAAGAACAAAUGUGUAAGUAACUAUGCACGUCUUGACGGUACCUAAUCAGAAAGCCACGGCUAACUACGUG
rnacentral:rRNA from 1 species